CAGAGUUGCAAAACUCCCUAAACCCUUUGUUUAUAUACCUGUUCAGUUGCUUCGGCAGGCGGCCCCAGGGCGGGGCCUCCAGCCUGCUCACGCAGGUGCCUGCCGCUGGCGCAAAAACUCUUGUUAUAUUACUACUCUGAGUCUCUAUAAAUGAAUCA
rnacentral:misc_RNA from 1 species